UACAGAGGGUGCAAGCGUUAAUCGGAAUUACUGGGCGUAAAGCGCGCGUAGGCGGUUUGUUAAGUUGAAUGUGAAAUCCCCGGGCUCAACCUGGGAACUGCAUGCAAAACUGGCAAGCUAGAGUAUGGUAGAGGGUGGUGGAAUUUCCUGUGUAGCGGUGAAAUGCGUAGAUAUAGGAAGGAACACCAGUGGCGAAGGCGACCACCUGGACUGAUACUGACACUGAGGUGCGAAAGCGUGGGGAGCAAACAGG
rnacentral:rRNA from 1 species